GGGGGUGAAAGGCUUCGACCCAGGUAGUGGGACAAAGGUGGCAUGUAGAGGUUGCUAGGAGGCCUCUUUAAACACCUGGCAAAAACACAAAUGCUGACAACUACAAAGUGCCAGCAACGGUGAAUGAGUUACUGAGCACCAUGCAAGUGGUGCCGGGACCCGUUCUACCGGUAGCGUUACCUUUAUAAGGUAACCCGUCAACCAAUCAGGCCUGCGGGGUUGGAUUGGCGUCGAUAGCAGGAUAGUCCAGCUUGUUUAGCCUUUAAUAAGUUGGAUGAAAUUAAUAAAGGAUACCGUUUUGAAAUUCCUCCUAUUGAAGUUCAAAACGGGAAAUCAAAGAUUAGGAUAAACAUGUAGAGGCUUUUGUUUUAAUAUUUGGGGACGCGGGUUCGAAUCCCGCCACCUCCACCA
rnacentral:tmRNA from 1 species